GGGUAGAGCACUGUUAAGGCUAGGGGGUCAUCCCGACUUACCAACCCUUUGCAAACUCCGAAUACCGUAGAGUGCUAUCCGGGAGACACACGGCGGGUGCUAACGUCCGUCGUGAAGAGGGAAACAACCCAGACCGCCAGCUAAGGUCCCAAAGUCAUGGUUAAGUGGGAAACGAUGUGGGAAGGCUUAGACAGCUAGGAUGUUGGCUUAGAAGCAGCCAUCAUUUAAAGAAAGCGUAAUAGCUCACUAGUCGAGUCGGCCUGCGCGGAAGAUGUAACGGGGCUAAACCAUGCACCGAAGCUGCGGCAAUGAC
rnacentral:rRNA from 1 species